rnacentral:rRNA from 1 species
UUGGUUAAGUUAGAAAGGGCGCACGGUGGAUGCCUUGGCACUAGGAGCCGAAGAAGGACGGGACUAACACCGAUAUGCUUUGGGGAGCUGUACGUAAGCGUUGAUCCAGAGAUUUCCGAAUGGGGGAACCCACUAUCUUUAGUCGGAUAGUAUCCUUACGUGAAUACAUAGCGUGAGGAAGGCAGACCCAGGGAACUGAAACAUCUAAGUACCUGGAGGAAGAGAAAGAAAAAUCGAUUUCCUGAGUAGCGGCGAGCGAAACGGAAAGAGCCCAAACCAAGAAGCUUGCUUCUUGGGGUUGUAGGACACUCUAUACGGAGUUACAAAAGAAAGUUAUAAAUGAAGCGGUCUGGAAAGGCCCGCCAAAGACGGUAACAGCCCGGUAGUUGAAAUGGCUUUCCCUCCAGAGUGGAUCCUGAGUACGGCGGAACACGUGAAAUUCCGUCGGAAUCCGGGAGGACCAUCUCCCAAGGCUAAAUACUCCCUAGUGACCGAUAGUGAACCAGUACCGUGAGGGAAAGGUGAAAAGCACCCCGGAAGGGGAGUGAAACAGUUCCUGAAACCGUGUGCCUACAAGUAGUUAGAGCCCGUUAAUGGGUGAUAGCGUGCCUUUUGUAGAAUGAACCGGCGAGUUACGAUUUGUUGCAAGGUUAAGCGGAAAAAGCGGAGCCGUAGCGAAAGCGAGUCUGAAUAGGGCGCAUAAGUAACAGGUCGUAGACCCGAAACCAGGUGAUCUACCCAUGUCCAGGAUGAAGGUAAGGUAAUACUUACUGGAGGUCCGAACCCACGCACGUUGAAAAGUGCGGGGAUGAGGUGUGGGUAGCGGAGAAAUUCCAAUCGAACUUGGAGAUAGCUGGUUCUCUCCGAAAUAGCUUUAGGGCUAGCCUCGAGGUAAAGAGUCAUGGAGGUAGAGCACUGUUUGGACUAGGGGCCCUUCUCGGGUUACCGAAUUCAGAUAAACUCCGAAUGCCAUGUACUUAUACUCGGGAGUCAGACUGCGAGUGAUAAGAUCCGUAGUCGAAAGGGAAACAGCCCAGACCACCAGUUAAGGUCCCCAAAUAUAUGUUAAGUGGAAAAGGAUGUGGGGUUGCUUAGACAACCAGGAUGUUGGCUUAGAAGCAGCCACCAUUGAAAGAGUGCGUAAUAGCUCACUGGUCGAGUGACCCCGCGCCGAAAAUGUACCGGGGCUAAACAUAUUACCGAAACUGUGGAUGAACCUCUUUAGAGGUUCGUGGUAGGAGAGCGUUCUAAGGGCGGUGAAGUCAGACCGGAAGGACUGGUGGAGCGCUUAGAAGUGAGAAUGCCGGUAUGAGUAGCGAAAGAAGGGUGAGAAUCCCUUCCACCGAAUAUCUAAGGUUUCCUGAGGAAGGCUCGUCCGCUCAGGGUUAGUCGGGACCUAAGCCGAGGCCGAUAGGCGUAGGCGAUGGACAACAGGUAGAGAUUCCUGUACCAGUGCUAAUUGUUUAACCGAUGGGGUGA